rnacentral:lncRNA from 1 species
AGUUAUGUACGAGGUCUUCUGGAUAUGGUGAAUUGUGUACGAAUAUUAUGAGUAGGUCAACAAAGAAUUAAUCACUUCUAGUAAGAGAAGAUAGCAUCCUAUUUAUUCUAAUCAUAUGAUAAUUCAGGAAGCCUUUGGUCAAAGUAGAAUGAAAAUUAGAAAGAGUUUCUAAUGUUUCAUUAUUUGAAUUAUCAUUAAAAGAUUGAGAAAAAUAUGAAUAUGAAAUUGAGUUUGACAUAUAUUCAUACUCAUAUACAUAUUUGGGAUGCAGUUUGAUUAAAGGAUUGAAUUGCAUGGUAACUUGCCACUGAAGAGUAUUUUUGGUAUUUCUACCAAAUUCCAUAUUUUUCGGGUAGACAUGACACGUUGCUAGACGUCAAUCUUGUUUUAUAGGUUUGAUCAAAUUAAAGAGUUUAAUUCGAUCACCAAUUAGAAAGGAUUCUAAUUGUUAAGUUCGAGUUCGUGCAGUUUGGACUUAAAUCGAUUAGAAGAGUUCUAAUCAAGUU